UUCCUCGUACAUUGCCAGAAAUGAGGGAGGUAAACUAGAUACUCAAGAUUUAAAAGUCACGGAAUAAUUAUUCAUUCAUUCAUAGGAGAGUAUUUCUAUGGCCCUGUUUUAAAAGCUGGAGGCAUAGCAGACAAAGUCCUGUCCUGUCUAGUGGACAGCGUGGAGCUCAUGUGUCUGUUUCUCUUUUUGGGAAACAGACAAAAGUCCCCUCUGCGUGACUGACACUGGAGUACUGUCACCACCCCACCCCACCCCCCACCCCGGAGCAUCGGGGAGCAGUCUGCAUGCUGUCUGCUGGCUUUUUUUCUUCAGUUGCUUGAUGGGGGCCUGUAGGUUGACCAUGGCUAAGAUAAAGUCCUGAGGGAAUUCUGAGAUUCUCUUAAGAAUGGAACACUGCUGUGAAGGGCCAGUUGUGUGCUGAAGCUUUUAGAAAGUCUGUCACUGUGAACGAAGUGCAGGAGAGUGACUGGGAGACAGACAAAGCAGAAAAGGAGGAACUAGGUUAAAAAAGAGAACUGGCAGUGAGCUUAGGCUGCAGUGACACUGGGUAUUAAUACUGAGUGGAUGGAUGGAUGGAUGGAUGGAUAAAAAUAAGAGAAAACCUCAGUACUAGGAUGUUUUCUUUUUAAAAUGAAAAAUGGACCCAGCAUUUCCAUUGUGCUUGUUGAGCAGGCGACAUCACCGACGUCAGUCCACAAGAGCAGAUUCAAAUCUCCCCAGCAGAAUGCUCCCGAGGCCUGAUAAGCAGGGCUGGAAACUGAAUCAGAAAACAUUCUGAGCAGUCAGCUAAUCAUGCUGUUUAGGCGAUUGCUUUGUCCACAUCUGUUUCUUCCUCGCAUUGCUGGAGUGACGUUCUCAGUUGUUCUCAGCUGGAGUGAAGCACUUCAGUUUCCAUGACAGAGGCACAGAUUUUUCAUCUUCCUAAAUUAGGCUGCGUGUGCUUCCCUCGGGCAACCCCCUGGCAUUUUACAUUAUUACAGACAUUGUAUACGAGUCUGAUAGGCUAUGGUUUUAAUUUUGAUCCAGUCUGGUCUUUGUUUCCAUCUGUAUGAAUGUCUAUACACAUAUGCUGUUCUAAUGUUCAACUGCUUUUUCUCACAAAGGCUAAAAAAACAACUUGAUUUCCCUUUUUCCAGCAACAGUAGAAUAUAACAAUUAAAAGGCUCCAGUCAUUCUUAACAAAUUAAAGCUGUUGAUGGCAAAGAAAUUAAUCUAGAGCAGCAACUAUAGUGUUAGAAAUGAAGAGUUCAGGCUAACUUGUUCUUUUUGGUUUAAGAAAAAAUGAAAUAGCAACCCUCCCAAAUAGUUAAAAGAAAGUCAAAAACCAAAAUUGGUCCAGUAGACCUAAUGUAACAGCAAGGAUUGAGUUGACUAGAAAUAUGUAUUAACUGUAUUAAUGAAGCUUUUAUUGUGGAGUCACUUAGAAUGGAAACAACCUACGUGAGUAGCUUUAGCCUUUCUUCCCCUCACUUAGACUUGCAGGGGUUGUGCAGGCUGAUAGCUUUAUGUUCUGACCUCCCCUUGUGUGAGCUGCAUGGAAACAAAGAAUAAAUCAAUGUCUUUUUGACUGAGGGAGGUGCUUCGUCCUCCUGCUCCUUUGGUUCGCAGGAGCCCUGCCUUGUCUUGUGGUUCCUCCCUGAAGCUCUUCCCUCUGUCAGAGCCCUUGAGCUGUGAGGUGAAGUGCGUCUCUGUUGGGCACAGAGCAUUGCCAGCAUCCCAGCUGGGAGGAAUCUAGGAGGUGUGUGUGCCAAGCACGAUGUCACUGGGAGCAGGUCUUGCAGCAGCCUGCCAAGGCCAGGGGUAGCCUGCCAGUACAAACGCCACGUUGACAUGACAUUUACAAGUUUAGAGUUUGGAAAAGGACUGGCAAUGGAAUACCCUUCAGCUGCCUCAUUCAGGCUGAGUAACUGGGCCAACAGAAGUCACAGUCAAGAGGAAUACUUCGUAUGGAAUUUGAAGCUGUCACUGCUGCUUUUUCUAGGAAGUAAUGAAUCCUGUUAGCCUGUUGCUGGAAUGCAGGACAGACCAGAGUGGCUAAGAGUAUGGAUUAGACCUGGGUUUGAGUGAGGCCCCUGCCCCUCAAUGUGCGACCCUGAGAAAGUUACUUAAUCUCUGAAGCCUCAGUUUCCCAUCUGUUAAGUAGGGAUAGUAAUACUGUUUCCCUCGCAGGGUUAUUGGACGGAUUAAAUAAUGUCUUUAAAAUUGUAAGCACUUGACCAAUACUAAGUGUUCAAUAGAUGUGAGGUAUAGCUCAUGAGAAAUUCAGAUUUUCAUCUGUUUCUAAUAUUUAGUAACAAGUAGAUAUAUCACAACCUGCCAGGAACAUGUCAGUACGUGAGUUUAUGUAGACUUAGGUGUUACGGGAGCACUACGCACAAGAAGCCCGGAACACCUCUCUAGGAGAAGGAGCCAGAGUCAGGAAUAUUGGAGCAUUUGGCGUCUCUUAACAGUUUCUUAGAUGCAGAAACCAUUUGGGUGUUAAGAAUUGAUUUCAGUCAUAGCAGCCCUCUGCUUGGCCUGGGACUUCUCUGUGGUGUAUUUGAAUGCACACAAAGACCUAGAACUCUUCCUAGAGAUGUGCUGUGAUUGUCAGGGAGUCUGUCUUUGUGAUGUGGGUAACCGGCACUUGGUCUUGGUUAAACCUUUUUUGAUCGAGUAGCUAAAUAACAGAUUUUUCUGUGCUGUUUAUAUAAAAUAGGAUCCUCAUUAUGGCACUCAGUUGGCUUCCUCUAAUCACUCCUUAUACCAUUAGGAAAUUCUGUCAAAUGACAAAAUUCUAGCUUGUCUUGUUUAUUCCCCUUGUUUUUCAGAUCUUCAAAACUGCUGCGGGCAUUCUACGUCCCCUUCCUGUCAGAUCAGUAUACAGUGUAUGCAAACUACACCAUCCUCAAACCCCGGAAACCAAAGCAAGUCAGGAAGAAAGGUGGAGCCCUAGUGAAAAAGACAAGUAUAUGUUUAUAGCACCUGUUUUUGAGUCUGUCUGUUGCAAAGCCGAUCCUGCAUGGGGCACUAGUCAGAUGGGCAGUGGUGAGGACCUAGCAAGCUUUGUUGGGGUUCUGGGAAAGAACCUUGAAAACCCGUGUGAUCGCAGAGCAUCAGGUCUGGAGCAACCAUCUGGGCAAAGCACUGACUGGAGACCCUUUGCUGUGUCUUGUGUCUCAUGAGAUUUAUUGAAAAAAGAAUUCACUGUGAUCUUGCUGUCUUCUAUCCAAUGUCAGACAGCUUUGCCUUUAAUUUAGUUAACUUUCCUUUCUCUGAAGAGGGAAAAGAGGCCCAAUUCAUUCUUUGCCUCCACAAGAAUAUUAAAGCUCAUAUGUCAGUUCAGCCUUAGGCUCCUGCAUUCAGUGCCUGGGCGAACGGGUUGGCAGACGUGUGCUCAGUGUUAAAUUCUUUCCAACAGAAAGAUCAGACUUCCAUAUGGCAUUGUGGAGUCUCAGGGCCUUUCUGGUGUUUCGGUCUAAACGGACAUCGCCUUCUGUGUCUCCAGCGCACAUAGCCACGUGAUCGGCGCCUCACGUGAGAUCGGGAGGCAGUGUGGUGUGUUGGAGCAAUUGCAUUGUCCAAUUCUUCUGCGUUUUUGAUCUGUGCACACUAUUUCACAUGCCCUUCUUUCCAUUACAUGUUUGUAUUUUCUGUAAAAGAAAAAGUUAAAUAAAUCUUGGCAGUUUGAUUUUC